AUACGAGGGGUGCAAGCGUUAAUCGGAAUUACUGGGCGUAAAGCGUUCGUAGGCGGUUUGUUAAGCAAGAUGUGAAAGCCCCGGGCUCAACCUGGGAACUGCAUUUUGAACUGGCAAACUAGAGUACUGUAGAGGGUGGUGGAAUUUCCAGUGUAGCGGUGAAAUGCGUAGAGAUUGGAAGGAACAUCAGUGGCGAAGGCGGCCACCUGGACAGAUACUGACGCUGAGGAACGAAAGCGUGGGGAGCAAACAGGAUUAGAAACCCUAGUAGUCC
rnacentral:rRNA from 1 species